CAGCCGCCGCGGGAAUACGGAGGGUGCAAGCGUUAAUCGGAAUUACUGGGCGUAAAGCGCACGCAGGCGGUCUGACAAGUCAGAUGUGAAAUCCCCGGGCUUAACCUGGGAACUGCAUUUGAAACUGUCAGGCUGGAGUCUUGUAGAGGGGGGUAGAAUUCCAGGUGUAGCGGUGAAAUGCGUAGAGAUCUGGAGGAAUACCGGUGGCGAAGGCGGCCCCCUGGACAAAGACUGACGCUCAGGUGCGAAAGCGUGGGGAGCAAACAGGAUUAGAUACCCCAGUAGUCCCUGUCUCUUAUAA
rnacentral:rRNA from 1 species